UACGAAGGGUGCAAGCGUUACUCGGAAUUACUGGGCGUAAAGCGCGUGUAGGCUGCUUCGUAAGUCGGAUGUGAAAGCCCUGGGCUCAACCCAGGAAGUGCAUUCGAAACUGCAGAGCUGGAGUCCUGGAGAGGAAGGCGGAAUUCUCGGUGUAGAGGUGAAAUUCGUAGAUAUCGAGAGGAACACCGGUGGCGAAGGCGGCCUUCUGGACAGUGACUGACGCUGAGACGCGAAAGCGUGGGGAGCAAACAGG
rnacentral:rRNA from 1 species